GUCCAUCACAUUCCACCUGUGAUCCUCCUCCUCCAGCCUCCUCGGUCACUGGGAUUACAGUGCUGAGGAUGGAACCUAGGACAUGCUAGGCAUAUGCUCUACCACAGAGAUACGCACAGAUAUUCACUUUUUGAAAGACAUCAGAGUUCCAGAUUUGGCAAUUAUGAAUAAAGAUGCUAUAAACAUU